rnacentral:rRNA from 1 species
AGCAUAUCAAUAAGCGGAGGAAAAGAAACCAACAGGGAUUGCCUUAGUAACGGCGAGUGAAGCGGCAACAGCUCAAAUUUGAAAUCUGGCUCUUUCAGGGUCCGAGUUGUAAUUUGUAGAAGAUGCUUCGGGUGUGGUACCGGUCUAAGUUCCUUGGAACAGGACGUCAUAGAGGGUGAGAAUCCCGUAUGUGACUGGUCACCUUCGCUCAUGUGAAGCUCUUUCGACGAGUCGAGUUGUUUGGGAAUGCAGCUCAAAAUGGGUGGUAAAUUUCAUCUAAAGCUAAAUAUUGGCCAGAGACCGAUAGCGCACAAGUAGAGUGAUCGAAAGAUGAAAAGCACUUUGGAAAGAGAGUUAAACAGUACGUGAAAUUGUUGAAAGGGAAGCGCUUGCAACCAGACUUGCACGUAGUUAAUCAUCCGGGGUUUUCCCCGGUGCACUUGGCUACGUUCAGGCCAGCAUCGGUUUCGGUGGUUGGAUAAAGGCCUAGGGAAUGUGGCUCCCUUCGGGGAGUGUUAUAGCCCUAGGUGCAAUGCAGCCCACUGGGACCGAGGACCGCGCUUCGGCUAGGAUGCUGGCGUAAUGGUUGUAAGCGACCCGUCU